GAACAGACGGACGUUCUGAAUCGUCAGUGGGUAGCGGUCUCUCCGCCAUUUUGAUUUUUUUUACCCUGCUUGGUGGCCGGCAGAAGUGACGGCAGCCGAACUGAGCUGCGAGACCUCCAUCCUCACGGCUCCCACAAGCGGUUCCCUGCCCUCACGACCCCCUAAACUCGGAACAUGUCCGCCAGCAGGAACCUCAAGCAAGUGAGGAUCGAGAACAGCUCCCCGGCGGCUGCCCCUCCGAUGAGCAUGGUGGGCGGCGGCAGCAUGAAAGGGCUGCGGGGUCUGGACCAGCAGCAGCAGCAGCAGCAGCAAGGCCCGCCGCCCGAGAACGAAGCGGCGGCCAUGGGGAAGGAGGAAGAGGAGCCGAGCGGCGGCGGCUUCACCGUCGACAUCAAGAGCUUCCUCAAGCCCGGCGAGAAGAGCUACACGCAGCGCUGCCGCCUCUUCGUGGGGAACCUGCCCACCGACAUCACCGAGGAGGAUUUCAAGCGCCUUUUCGAGCGCUACGGGGAGCCCAGCGAGGUCUUCAUUAACCGGGACCGCGGCUUCGGCUUCAUCCGCCUGGAGUCACGGACUCUGGCUGAAAUUGCAAAAGCCGAGCUCGAUGGAACUAUUCUGAAGAGCAGACCGCUGCGAAUUCGAUUUGCUACUCAUGGGGCUGCUUUAACAGUGAAGAAUCUUUCACCUGUUGUUUCCAAUGAGCUUCUGGAACAAGCUUUCUCUCAGUUUGGCCCAGUGGAAAGAGCUGUUGCUGUCGUAGAUGAUCGUGGUAGGGCAACUGGAAAAGGCUUUGUAGAAUUUGCUGCAAAACCUCCAGCUCGGAAAGCACUAGAAAGGUGCAGUGAUGGAGCAUUCCUACUGACAACAACUCCUCGACCUGUUAUUGUAGAACCUAUGGAACAAUUUGAUGAUGAAGAUGGGCUGCCUGAAAAAUUAAUGCAAAAAACUCAACAGUAUCAUAAGGAAAGGGAGGAGCCUCCUCCUUUUGCCCAGCCUGGAACUUUUGAGUUUGAGUAUGCUUCUCGGUGGAAGGCCCUUGAUGAAAUGGAAAAGCAACAGCGGGAACAAGUUGAUAGAAACAUCAGAGAAGCAAAGGAGAAACUGGAGGCAGAAAUGGAAGCAGCUCGACAUGAGCAUCAGUUAAUGUUGAUGAGACAAGAUCUUAUGAGGCGUCAGGAAGAACUGAGACGUUUGGAAGAACUUCGAAAUCAGGAGCUACAGAAACGAAAGCAAAUACAAUUAAGACAUGAAGAAGAGCAUAGACGACGUGAAGAAGAGAUGCUGCGUCAGAGAGAACAGGAAGAACUGAGGAGACAGCAGGAGGGAGGAUUUAAGUCAAAUUUCAUAGACAAUGAAACUAUUAAAAUGCUGAUGCUGAACUGCUGUUGAAGACGUACAGUGACCAGUUAGCUUCCGAGGAAUAUAGCGGUAAAGGAUGAUGGAUCCAGUGCUGUUACAGAUUGGAAGAGACUGACAAAGAAAUUGAUUCAGCUUUGGUCCUGAAGAAACCUUCAUGGAACUCUUCCAAGCAAAGUUUCUUGAAUAAUCCUUUUCUUUAGAAAACAGAGCAAGAAAUGAACAUAAGAGCCUGCUGGUUCAUCCAGUCAAGCAUACCGCUUUGUACAGUGGCCAACUAAUUACCCUGGAGGGCCAACAGACAGGGUAUAGAAACCAAGGCCCUGGUGGUAUUGCCACCCAGCACUGAUAUUCAGAGGUUUGGUGUCUCUAUGGAUGGAGGCUCCCUGUGACAAGUAGCUUUAAACGGGGGUUAGAGAGAUUCGUGGAGAAGUCCAUCGUCAUCUGUGGUCAUAGCCAUCUCUGCCUCCACUGGCAGUGACUGUUUAAUUACUUGUAGAGUAUGGUAGUAUUUCCUUGUCUGUCUUGAACCUAUUUCCCAAAAAUUUCAUUGGGUGCCCCCAAGUCCUAGUGUUAUGGGAGAGGGAGAGUAUUAUAUUUUGAUAAUCCACAGGGGAGAAGCAUCAGGACCUCUCACAUCAGUCUAUAUGACUCUUAUGUUAUCCAAGGAUCUCUUGGAUGUGCUCCCCAAACCUUUAUCUCACCAGUUUAUAAUUCCAGUGUCAUAUCCUCCCUCCCAUCUGCCAUUGACAUUAAUCACACCACCACACGGGCUUUCAUAGGGUGGUGGUAGUCCUGACCAGUAGCAAGCAGCCAGGCCUAGCUCCAAUGAGUCCUCACACAAAGGGCAAAAUAUGUUUCAAGGCAAGGAAGGAGGGUGAUGUACCUGUGGAGUCACCUGUGCUUGCUGGGAUAGCUGCUUGAGAAGCCUUGUAUGGGCCUUGCAGCUGUGGUCUUGUCUGCUGCUGCCAACGCUUUGACGUAGUUGGUGGUGGAGUCAUUGAUACAACUAGGGCCACUGAUGCUGGAACCUCAGUCAGGGUGACUAGUGGGUAGCCCCGUCGUGCCGUGGAGAGACUGGGAUAGAGAGUUGACCCCCGAUUUGGAUGAACUCUUGGGCUGGCCCUGAUUUUGGAGGUGCUUCUGGGUGCUCCUCCAACUGCCAUGAACUGGUCCUGCGCAUUGGUGACAAGACAGCCUGGGUUGUCAUUGAGCUGGGCUUUCUCUGCAGUAAAGCCUGUUUGAGUCAACAGGGCUUUCUUACAAAGAAAUCCUAUGCCAGUUAACCUGGGAAUAAGCCCUAUGGAAUAGACACUUGUGAGUAGACUGGCACUGGGAUUGUGCAUUCUUGUAGGAGUGUGGAAGAAAUGCAGUAAUUCUUGGUGCUAUAUUUUAGAUUAAAUUUUAAACAGUCAAAUAGAUCUUGUAGCCUUCAAGGUUCAAUAAGAUCCUUUUGCUGUGUCUAAUUUUUCCAGCUCAUUAAGCUAUAACCUGCAUCAGAGAACUGUAUUCUUACACUUGCAUUAAAAA